UACAGAGGGUGCGAGCGUUGUUCGGAAUUAUUGGGCGUAAAGGGCGCGUAGGCGGUGCGGUAAGUCACCUGUGAAAUCUCCUGGCUCAACUGGGAGCUUGCAGGCGAAACUGCCGUGCUGGAGUGUGGGAGAGGUGCGUGGAAUUCCCGGUGUAGCGGUGAAAUGCGCAGAUAUCAGGAGGAACACCGGUGGCGAAGGCGGUUCUCUGGGCAUUACCUGACGCUGAGGAGCGAAAGCGUGGGGAGCAAACAGG
rnacentral:rRNA from 1 species